GAUGAAGAACGCAGCGAAAUGCGAUAAGUAAUGUGAAUUGCAGAAUUCAGUGAAUCAUCGAAUCUUUGAACGCACAUUGCGCUCCCUGGUAUUCCGGGGAGCAUGCCUGUUCGAGCGUCAUUACAACCCUCAAGCUCUGCUUGGUGUUGGGCCCCGCCGCCCCGGCGGGCCCUAAAGUCAGUGGCGGUGCCGUCCGGCUCCGAGCGUAGUAAUUCUUCUCGCUCUGGAGGUCCGGUCGUGUGCUCGCCAGCAACCCCCAAUUUUUUUCAGGUUGACCUCGGAUCAGGUAGGGAUACCCGCUGAACUUAAGCAUAUCAAUAAGCGGAGGA
rnacentral:misc_RNA from 1 species